UACGAAGGGGGCUAGCGUUGUUCGGAAUUACUGGGCGUAAAGGGCGCGUAGGCGGUACUUCAAGUCAGGCGUGAAAGCCCCGGGCUCAGCCUGGGAAUUGCGCGCGAAACGGGGGGGCUUGAGUUCGGGAGAGGAGCGUGGAAUUCCCAGUGUAGAGGUGAAAUUCGUAGAUAUUGGGAAGAACACCGGUGGCGAAGGCGGCGCUCUGGACCGAGACUGACGCUGAGGCGCGAAAGCGUGGGGAGCAAACAGG
rnacentral:rRNA from 1 species